rnacentral:rRNA from 1 species
CCUACGGGAGGCAGCAGUGAGGAAUAUUGGUCAAUGGACGAGAGUCUGAACCAGCCAAGUCGCGUGACGGAUGACUGCCCUCUGGGUUGUAAACUUCUUUUAUAUGGGAAUAAAACGUUCCACGUGUGGGAUUUUGUAUGUACCAUAUCAAUAAGGAUCGGCUAACUCCGUGCCAGCAGCCGCGGUAAUACGGAGGAUCCGAGCGUUAUCCGGAUUUCUUGGGUUUAAAGGGAGCGUAGGUGGAUUGUUAAGUCAGUUGUGAAAGUUUGCGGCUCAACCGUAAAAUUGCAGUUGAAACUGGCAGUCUUGAGUACAGUAGAGGUGGGUGGAAUUCGUGGUGUAGCAGUGAAAUGCUUAGAUAUCACGAAGAACUCCGAUUGCGAAGGCAGUUCACUGGACUGCAACUGACACUGAGGCUCGAAAGUGUGGGUAUCAAACAGGAUUAGAUACCCGUGUAGUC